rnacentral:lncRNA from 1 species
AACUAAAAUACCACCAACUAUUUCCAGAAAUAAUUUGAAAUUACGGAACUACAUGUACAAACGUAAAAAAAUCCAUUCCAAUUCUCCUGUACCCAUAUAUACUUACUCUAUAGAUAGAAUCAUAUACAUGUAUCUUAUCUCAUUCUAUCCCUAGUUUGUCUACUCUUUGUCAGCAUAAAAGCGAGUUUAAUAUUUUGUAACUGCG